rnacentral:rRNA from 1 species
GAUGAACGCUGGCAGUGUGCCUUAGACAUGCAAGUCGAACGAAGCACCGUGAACCUUCGGGGAUCGGUGACUGAGUGGCGAACGGGUGAGUAACACGUGGGUGACGUACCUCUUAGUGCGGCAUAACCCUGGGAAACUGGGACUAAUUCCGCAUGUGCUGCGACCUUUCUGGGGUUUCAGUAAAGAUUCAUCGCUAAGAGAUCGGCCCGCGGUCCAUCAGCUAGUUGGUAGGGUAAUGGCCUACCAAGGCGACGACGGAUAGCCGACCUGAGAGGGUGACCGGCCACAGGGGCACUGAGACACGGGCCCACUCCUACGGGAGGCUG